UUGAUCCUGGCUCAGAAUGAACGCUGGCGGCGUGCUUACACAUGCAAGUCGAACGAGAAAUCUUUAGCUUGCUAGAGAAAGUAAAGUGGCGCACGGGUGAGUAACGCGUGGGUAAUCUGCCUCCGAAUCGGGGAUAACAUUGCGAAAGCGAUGCUAAUACCGGAUAAAAUCUGGUUGGCUUCGGUGAACCGGAUCAAAGGUGGUCUCUUUAUAAAAGCUACCGUUUGGAGAUGAGCUCGCGUACCAUUAGCUAGUUGGUGAGGUAAAGGCUCACCAAGGCGACGAUGGUUAGCUGGUCUGAGAGGAUGAUCAGCCACACCGGAACUGGAACACGGUCCGGACUCCUACGGGAGGCAGCAGUGAGGAAUUUUGCGCAAUGGGGGAAACCCUGACGCAGCAACGCCGCGUGAGUGAUGAAGGCUUUCGGGUCGUAAAGCUCUGUCAGGUGGGAAGAACCCACCAAGUGUUAAGACCACUUGGUGCUGACGGUACCACCGAAGGAAGCACCGGCUAACUCCGUGCCAGCAGCCGCGGUAAUACGGGGGGUGCGAGCGUUAUUCGGAAUCAUUGGGCGUAAAGGGCGCGCAGGCGGUUUUGUAAGUCAGAUGUGAAAUCCCGGGGCUUAACCCCGGAAGUGCAUAUGAAACUAUGAGACUUGAGUAUGGGAGAGGGAAGCGGAAUUCCUGGUGUAGCGGUGAAAUGCGUAGAUAUCAGGAGGAACACCGGUGGCGAAGGCGGCUUCCUGGACCAAUACUGACGCUGAGGCGCGAAGGCGUGGGGAGCGAACAGGAUUAGAUACCCUGGUAGUCCACGCAGUAAACGUUGAUCACUAGGUGUAGCGGGUAUUGACCCCUGCUGUGCCGGAAGUAACGCAUUACGUGAUCCGNCUGGGGAGUACGA
rnacentral:rRNA from 1 species